UCGAUAUAGACAUUUCGCUGACGGACUU
rnacentral:sRNA from 1 species